CUUUGGGGGCUGGGCUGCGCCGGCUCUGGGCUGCAAGAAGAUGAACGCUGGUACUAAAUGUUUCCUCAGGAGCUGGCACAGAAAAUCAAGGGCUACCAGGAGCAGAUCGCGUCUUUGAAUUCCAAAUGCAAGAUGCUAAUGAUGAAGGCCAAGCAUGCCACCAUGCUGCUGACAGUGACAGAGGUUGAGGGGCUGGCGGAAGGGAUGGAGGAUCUGGACCGAGAGCUCCUCCCCACGUCUUCGGCUCACCCCUCCUUGGUCAUGAUGACUGCAGGUCGCUGUCACACUUUGCUGUCACCUGUCACUGAAGAAUCUGGGGAGGAGGGAACCAACAGUGAGAUUUCUUCUCCACCUGCCUGUCGCUCCCCUUCACCUGUGGCUAACACAGAGGCUUCUGUUAACCAGGUACCUCCCACUGUCUUCCCCUCACUGAGCUCUGGGUGGAUGCAGGACAUCAUUGUCGGCCCUAACUAGUCUGGAUCUCAGGCUCCAUCACAUUUGGGUCCAGGAAUUCGUCAUGAGGGGCUGUAGUUCCAUCAUUUGUGAUUGCUGUGUGAGGUGACUGGCCCAGUCUGUCAUCUCUUCUGAGCUACUGAUGGGAUGAGCAAAUUUUAGUUUGUGGAAAUUACAGCUGAUGUGGACAAAAAAUUCAUUCAUGAGAAUUAUAGCCCGAAACAGCUCUCUUUUAAGGCCUUAUAGCUUUAGUUUGUAGCCGUCAUGUGGAAAGAAGUACUGCAUCCCAACAGAUAAUAAAAGGCUUCUGUCACUUUUGUGAAGUCACAUGAUCCUA
rnacentral:lncRNA from 1 species